GACGUAGGGGGCGAGCGUUGUCCGGAUUUAUUGGGCGUAAAGCGUGCGUAGGCGGCUGCGCAAGUCGAACGUGAAAUCCCCGGGCUCAACCCGGGAACUGCGUCCGAUACUGGCAGGCUUGAAUCCGGGAGAGGGAUGCGGAAUUCCAGGUGUAGCGGUGAAAUGCGUAGAUAUCUGGAGGAACACCGGGUGGCGAAGGCGGCAUCCUGGACCGGUAUUGACGCUGAGGCGCGAAAGCCAGGGGGAGCA
rnacentral:rRNA from 1 species